GAGACUGAAGAAAGAUGCAGACCACUCCAGGCCGGUAGGUGCCAGGCUUUCUAAGUAAGGGAACUUACAAGGACUGACUUCAGUGGCAGCAAGACUGUUUUCACUCCUUCCUACGAGAAUCUGAAAAGCGUGUACAGGGGUUCAGACACAUUUCAGUCCAAAUGGUCUCAACAGCACCUUACUUUCUCAAGGCUGCAUCCCAGAAAUGGACUCCCACGGUGGAACAGUGGGUAACACACACAUUCCAAGGACAGGAGGAGGUGAGGCACCUCCGAUUGCCCGAGUCCAGAUCCACCGGAAGUCUCAUGCUGUGGAUCACUUCCUUCAGUAACUAGAAGAGGCAGACUCUCAUUAUGGUGAAGAACAGAGAUGCUGAGAAAGUUUCCCUCUCAUGAAGGAACAAGUAUACAAAUGACUUGAAAAAGUCUUAAACAUAAAGAGACAUGUUCCUUGGGACUUUGAAGAAGCAAGUAUGAUGAGUUCUAUGGCUCCCAGAAAAUAAGUUGUGUCAAUGACCACCCGAACUUUUAUGAGGACCCUGGACUUCAGAAAGGAACAUGGAUUGGAGUAUCAUGACCAAAAAGAUGGGGCUGUUAUGGAAGACCCCAGUCUCCAUCCCUGUACAAAGAUCAAAAAUUAGACAACGACCACAAACAAAAAGCUCUGAGAGAGUUCUGGAGUCCACUUAAGAAACUUCAGCAAUACAGUGGAACAAAACAGCUGAGAAUAACUACAAAAAAAAAGAGAAGAAAGAUGGUUUUAUUUUGUCUCCAUCAUUCUAUCCCUCUAGCCAGCAUUUCUCAGUGCCAAGAAGAAAUCCCAAGCUAGAGUUUUUUAAAGUAAGCCAGCCUUUCAAGGCACUGCACAAAAUCCCACUUUGGUUAUAGCCCACUCAGACUGGUAAAGCUGAAACACAGAGACAGUUAUGAAAAUUAAAGUAAAACAGAGGUUAUUAAUAGAUGCUACAUAGCUGAAGCUGUCAGUUUGCAAUGAACUUCUCUGCAGAAAACUCAAUAUAUUUCACCACUGAACAAACCAAUGGCCAGCACAGCUACUGCAUACCUGCUGCCGAUUACACCUGUUAUUAUCCUAUAGAUAUUUGCUUUUUUGACACCAGUCAUUGAGUCUUUUUCUGCCUCGUUCCCCACUCCUCCAUCCUACCUAAGCUUGGGAAAUACACCAACAUCACUGAAGUCUAAGAAGGAGAAAAGAGGAAGAAAGGAGUAGAUUUGCAAAUAUUUUCUCCUAUUCUAUAGGUUGCUGUUCAUUUUGUUGACUUGAUUUGUUUUGUUUUGUUUUGUUUUUGCCUGUGUAGAAGCAUUUUAAUCUGCUAUAGUCUAACUAAUUUUUGCUUUCCUUGCUUGUGCUUUUGGUAUUAUAUCCCAAAGAGCAUUGUCAAUACCAAGGUCAAGGAGCUUUUUCCUAGUUUUCUUAUUGAAGUUUUAAGGUAACAGUUUAUGUUUAACUUUAAUCCAUUUUGAAUUAAUUUUAGUAAGUGGCAUGAGUUAGGGAGCAAUUUGAUUAUUCCACUUGUGGUUGUACAGUUUUCCAACAUAAUUUAUCAAAGGGACUACUGUCCUUUCUACAUUGAGUGUCCUUGAAUCUAUUGUCAAAUACUAAUUAACUUUAUGUGCAAGAGAUUGUGUCUGAGCUCUUGAUUCUGUUUCACUGGCCUAUGAUAGCUUCAUUUUAGGUCAGUGAUAUACGGUUUUGAUUAAUAUACCUUUGUAGUGGAGUUUGAAACAGGAAGCAUGGUCCUUAUAGCAUAUAGGGGUUGAUUUUGAAAAUAUAAAAAUAACUCAUAAAACACAAUAACAAAAUACAAAAUAAAACAAAACAAAAAUCCAAUUUAAAAUGAGCAUAUAAACUGAAUCAUCAUUUUUCCAAAGAAGCUUUACAAAUAGCCAACAAAUACAUAAAAAUGCUGUUCAAAAUCUCUAAUCAUCAGGGAAAUGCAAAUCAAAACCACAAUGACAUAUCUAAGACCUCAUACUUGUUAGAAUAUCAUUUAAAAAGACAGGGAAUAACAAGUAUUGAUAACAAUGUACAGAAAAAUGAAUAUUUGUUUACUAUUGGUAGAAAAGUGAGUUGGUAUAGCUACAAUGGUAAAAAUUUUUGAAGUUCAUCAAAACUUUAUAAAAGAACUACCACAUGAUCUGGCAAUACCUCUACUGGUAGAUAUUAAAAUGACAUGAAAAUAGGAUCUUGAAGAUUAUAUGUGUGUGUGUGUGUGUGCACGCUCUAAUGCACAUCACGGCCUUUUUCACAAUGGCCAGGACAUAGACACAACCUAAGUGUCCAUAACUGGAUAAAGAUGUGGUAGAAACACAGAAUGGAUUAUCACUGAGCCAUGAGAAAGAAAGACAUCCUGCCACUUGAGACAAUAUGGAUCAACACUGAGGGCACUAUGAUUACGGUAAGUGAGGUAAGGCAGAUAGAGAAAGACAAAUACCACACAAUAUCACUUAUAUGUGGAAUGUAAAAAAAUGAGCUGAAUUCAUAGAAACAGAGAAUAAAAUGGUAGUUUUCAGAGGCUAGAGAAUGAAGUGAAUGGAGAGAUGCUGGUCAAAGUUAUAAGGUGAAUAAUUUCUGAAUAUCUAAUGUAAAGAACAGUUGUAUAGUCCAUCACAUACUAGAAAGUUAAGAGAGUAGAUCUUAAAUGUUCUCACUGCAAAAAAUAAAUGCUAAUUACAUAACAUGUGGUAGACAUUAGCUGAGACUAUGGUUUCAAUCAUUUUGCAGUAUGUUAAGUGUAUCAAACCAACAUGUCAUGCAUCCUAAACUUACACAAUAUUACAUAUUGAUUCUAUUCCAGUAACAAAAGAAAAGAAAGAGACAGAGCAUGGCCUCUACCUUAGAUUUUAGAUUUAGGAGACUCUAGAGGUGGACAUGGCUCAACUAUCCCAGACUCCUGAACAUGGAAACAAUGAGAUACCAAAUACGUGUUGUUUAAAACACUAUCAGUGACACUUUGUUAUGUACCAGUAGAAACCCACUAUCACCUGAAUGAAGGUGAAAAGGGCAAAUUAGAUUUUUACAUUGAACAUUUAAUGUGCAGACAAAUCACUUGGGAGGAAUGACCUGUAAGUAUGUAAAAUGAAGAUUUUGAUUAAGGAAAUACUGAGUGGGGUUAUACAUUCUCACCUAAUGUUGAUACUGCUGGUGCACAGAACACACUUGGAGUAGCAAGGACUUAGACUGUACAACAAAUUCAAACCAUACCAUUAAAACAAUUCUGGCUUGUGGUACUCUGUGUAUCUACGAGGGAGUAUUUGUAGCUGAAUAUAAGUCCAAAACAAGCUGUAAAAGCUUUUGUUAAAAUAUAGGGGAAUAAAAGUUUGUAUAUACUAAGUUUGAAAGCAAAAGUGAGGAAUGUAUUGAAGGAGAAUGAUUCUACUGAAAAAAAAAUAGGCAGAGUAAAGCUGUUUCAUUUGAAUGUAAACCUUAAUUCUUUCUAACCAAUCAAACAAUAUUUUCAUCAAAAUAGAAUAAUAUUUU